CAAUCGUUUGAAUCGGCGCUGUUGCGUGUGAAUCUGGUCUAGAUCCGUCGUAACCGCGCGGAACCUGUCACAUGUGUUGCUCCCGAUGUUAAUCUAGUUUUUGUCUGGAUGAUUUGGGAAGACGAAUUCAUGCCCGUAGAUGUUCUCUUGUGGUGAUUCGAAAUAAUAUUUGACUAGUACAAGCCGCGGGUUCAUCCUCUGUUCCUUUCAUUUAAAGAUCUGUUUCUGUAAUGGUGCCAGAAAAAAAAUGCUCUAGGCUUCUUGAAUGUUAGUAAUUCCUCUGCUCUUUCAUGUCUAGUUUGCUAGAGAAUUAAUAUCUGUAUGCUAUUGCUUCUAAGUUAUUCGUAUCACUCAUAACACUGCCCCUGUUGAUACGUUUUUAUGGUCAAUGGUUUCCCGUAAAUCUGAAUUAGUAGUUUGUUCUGUCAGUUAGACCUUACACAAUGUUUUGCAUUCCCUGUUAAAACGUGCUUGGGUCACCAGCUGCUCAUGCUGAAUCAUGGUGGUUAGUUAUCUCUUGUUUGCAUGUCAAUGGUACCUUAUCUUUAGUUGAAACUAUUUGUACAUGUUACUCGUAUGUAGUUUGGAAUUUGUGCAAAUUGGUUUUAUGGUCAAUGGUUUCCUGUAAAUCUGAAUUAGUAGUUUAUUCUGUCUAGUUAGACCUUACACAAUGUUUUGCAUUCCCUGUUAAAACGUGUUUGGGUCGCCAGCUGCUCAUGCUGAAUCAUGGUGGUUAGUUAUCUCUUGUUUGCAUGUCAAUUGUACCUUAUCUUAAGUUGAAACUAUCUGUACAUGUUACUCGUAUGUAGUUUGGUAUGUGUGCAAAUUAAGAUGGUUUGUUCUCAGUAGCUGCAAUGAUGCAGUCUCUUAAUGUGUUGCACUUUCUUUUCAAUGUUCCUUGGAUUGAGUUAUUUUCUUUGUGAUGUUUGCUGCAUUUAGUUAUUUUGUUCUUUUUAUUGACAAAAUUCUCUGUUCAG
rnacentral:lncRNA from 1 species